CUUGACAUGUCAGGAAGCUCUUGUAAUGAGAGCGUGCCCGCAAGGGAGCCUGAACACAGGUGCUGCAUGGCUGUCGUCAGCUCGUGUCGUGAGAUGUUGGGUUAAGUCCCGCAACGAGCGCAACCCUUGUCACUAGUUGCUACGAAAGGGCACUCUAGUGAGACCGCCGGUGACAAACCGGAGGAAGGUGGGGAUGACGUCAAGUCCUCAUGGCCCUUAUG
rnacentral:rRNA from 1 species